AUGAACGCUAGCGACAGGCUUAACACAUGCAAGUCGAGGGGUAACAGGGUAGCAAUACCGCUGACGACCGGCGCACGGGUGAGUAACGCGUAUGCAACCUGCCUAUAACUGGGGAAUAGCUCCCUGAAAGGGGAAUUAACACCGCAUAACACUAUUGAUUCGCAUGGAUUGGUAGUUAAAUGUAGCGAUACAGGUUAUAGAUGGGCAUGCGUGACAUUAGCUAGUUGGUGAGGUAACGGCUCACCAAGGCUACGAUGUCUAGGGGUUCUGAGAGGAAGGUCCCCCCACACUGGUACUGAGACACGGACCAGACUCCUACGGGAGGCAGCAGUGAGGAAUAUUGGUCAAUGGGCGCAAGCCUGAACCAGCCAUGUCGCGUGCAGGAAGAACUGCCCUAUGGGUUGUAAACUGCUUUUAUAGUAGAAGAAACACAUCUACGCGUAGAUGUCUGCCAGUAUACUAUGAAUAAGCAUCGGCUAACUCCGUGCCAGCCGCGGC
rnacentral:rRNA from 1 species